rnacentral:misc_RNA from 1 species
GUGAAUCAUCAAAUUUUUGAACGCAUAUUGCACUCUCUGGUAUUCCGGAGAGUAUUCCUAUUUGAGGGUCAUGUGAAAUAAUAUAAACUCCAAGAUUUCUCGGAAUUUAAAAUGGGUUAUCCAUUUUUUGUGGUCGCCUAAAAUCCAAGACACUUUAAUUUUCUUGGGUUGCUUCUUAGUUUCAUUCACCUCGUGAC